CCCCUAGGAUUGUGGUUUGAACUCCCUGCAUGUGUGCACAGCUCUUAGCAUGGUGCCUGGCCUGGUGCUCAUCACAUGUGUAAACAGAAAAAAAUGACAGCCUGAGUCUCCAAAGUGGAUCAGAGGUGAUGGAGUACACUUUUAAGUCUCCCCUGCAGCCUUUCUCCUCUAAAGGAAGGGGCCUGAAAAGAAAAAGCAGCAAAAGGAAGCAGGUAACAGUUUAUAUAGUGUGGUUCCCGAUGUUAGUGUCAUAGUGAACUUGUGCCUCUUCCUUUCCAGAAAAGGUUGGUGUGCUGGGAGGUCUCCUGCUUAAGCGCUGAUCACAGCACUGGGAAGCAGUAGCAGCAAACAAGCUAUGAAUCUUUACUUUCAUUCUUGGAGAAAACCACCCCUUUAUGGAGGAAGAACAGGGAAGAGCCAAGCACCCAGCCAGCUGACUAUAGGGGAAAUCUGCCAAUGUCACAGUGCCACAAGACCAAAGGAUCCUGGAAUGUUGAACCAGUAUUCAAAAGACAGCUGCCUAGAGAGUCUGUUGGACCUGUAAAGGAAUAAAGGUAUCAGAGCCGCCGUAAUCCUGG